CAAUUAUGGAAUUUGGCAAGAUGUCGGAAUAGCUGAAAUUUAACUAUAAUGUUUUCUAAUUUAAUUCAUAACGGCUAUGCCUCAUCUAGUCAAUUGCCAGU
rnacentral:pre_miRNA from 1 species